rnacentral:lncRNA from 1 species
AUAUUGUUAGAAAAUUCUGUGCCCACUUGAAUUCGCCAACUUUGACAAUGCUACAAUUGUGAAGGAACGAGUUAUCUUUAUCAUCAACAACCAUUAAUGUCAUAUUUAGUCUACUAGAUAUUGAUGAUGACGACUAUUAUACCAUGGUAGUCGGUGUCACUGAAGAGAUGGUUCUAGACAUAUUGAAAGUCGUCACGAUUUAAGGAGAAAAAUGGAUGACAUCAAGACAAGGAACUUGUUAUUGUCGUAUGGAUAUCUAACUCGAAAGGCAAAGGUAUGGUUCUGCUUUAUUAGAAUGAGUAUUAUUCCUGUGUAUUCAAAUUGCACUAUUUCAAUGAUUCAAAUGAUUCUCCUGUAUUGUAUAGUGAUUAGGAAGUCAAUUAAUAUGGGGAGAAUAAUACUUAACAAAAUUUGAGAGUGUGUAGAAAGAAGAAAAGGUUAUCACAAUUUCCCAUCACUCAUCACUCUGAUACGUUGCCAAAGUAACAUACCGAUGCGAAUCAGUGAAGAACCUUACCACAAAGGUAAGAUCACUGCCUAUGACAUAUCAAAGGCAGAGGUGACAUUACAAGGAAAAAAUCAGAUACUACAUAUUGAUGGGGAUGAGAUGACAAAAACAGAAGCUAAUUCUAGUAGUACCAAACCAUUGGAUGAUCUCGCACCAACCUUUAUGUCUACUUAACCUUCUAUAAAUUUGGUAACAUAGGUGGAAAUUUUGGAUUUAUUGCAACAUAUGAACAAGCAGCAAUGAAAGUACUACAAGUACACCAAGAUUCGAGAUGAAUCAAAUCAACUUGCUUCUAUGAGCUUAUUUAAAUCUUUUGAUUACAUUCCUGAGUUCUAGAUUUAAUACUCAAGCCAUAGAACCCAACUCAUGGAACUGGUCAUGAGAAUUUCGCUACACCGAGGCAAGAUACUAGAAUGGAGGAGGAGAUAGACACAUAAAGAGAUGGGUCAAUAAAUAAAUAAGGGGGUUUUCUUUAUUUUAAGAAAUUUCUUUUUAGUUGAUUCUAUUUUUAGAAUACUACUUUUACUCGUAUUUUUGUUUUAAUUUUUUUACAAAAUAAAUUUUGAGCUACAAUUAUUUUCAAGAGUUUUUCUUAUUAUUAUUUGAUGGUUGUUUUUGAACAAUGAGGAUAGUGUUUUGUUUAAGUUUGGGAGGGACCAUGCCUCAACUUUCUUGAUUUUUGCCCAAUUUUGUAAAAGAUGCAUUCGUGCAAUAAGGCUAAAAAGUGGAAAAGAUGUUCAUCAUCAAUCGAGUAUGGUAUGUUAGUUCAAAUUUAGGUAUGACCUUUUAUUCAUUUCAAGUAUUUUUUAUGUUACAUAAAUUAUGAGAUGAAUUUUGAUUUUAUGAGUAUGUAGGUUCACCAUAAUUGUUUUAUAUUCCCUAGAAAUUAAGCAUGUAUAAGGAUUUAGUCUCUAAAAUUGAUUUGGUAAUUCCUUUGAAGUGAAAUCCUAGAUAGAAAAAGGGGUUUAAAAAUAAUUUAGGAUCAUUUCCUUUGGACUGGUUAAGCUUUCAAACCUACCUUUAAUUAAAUCCUUUAAAAACCAAUUCUAAGCUAUAUGACCUAUAUUUUUGGCGAUAACCUAUGAAAUAUGUAGCUUAUAUUAAAUAAUUAUUUCUGUGACCUCUUGAACCUUAAAAUCUUAGCCUUGCUUACUUUGGAAGCAUUUUGAAGAUUAAUUUGGGGGAGAUAGCACUAGAAAGAACAUAGGUUUUCCUCCUUACUUAUUGGUUAAAUUGUUCCCACUUAGUUAUCCUUAGCAUAUAUUUUAGUAUUUUCAGUUUAGUAAAUACAUUUUAUAACUCAGGAAAUUCUAGCCUAUUUUAUCCUUAAUUUCGCUAUCUUUCUGCAUGAAUUUCGCUGAAUGAGGUAAUUCCAGAUUGCAUCCAGAAUUGUUGCCGCACCUGAUAGUUAUCUGGAUAAGAACUAAAAAUGCAUGAGCUGUCCAAUCUGGUAUAACCAACCUGUACAUACAAGGACAAAAUAAUUCUGAGGAAAGGACACCUGUAUUGUUGGAGGAGGACAUAAAAGGUUGACGUGAGAAGAAAAAUAGAAGAUGAGAACUUUUUCUUAACCAUCAUCUUCCUCAUCCUACCUUGAAGCUUGCUGCUAUGGUAGCUUAAGACUCUUAUGGGUGAGCCAACGUGAAAAUUGAUGCAAAUUAGCUUUUGAUGCGAAGACCUAAGUGUGAGACAAGAGGGAAUAGAGAAAUUCAGUUGAGUUGUCUAGGAAUAGUAUUCUCAACUCGAUUCUUUCUUAUUUCUUUUUAAAUGCUGGUGAUUACUCUCUGUUUUCUGUUUGUAUAGAAGUACUGUAACGUAUAGGUUUGUGCAAGUGUACACAGUUGUUAUCAAGUAAUAAGUAAGUAUCGAGUUAUCGUCUCUACAAGGAUUGUAUUUGUGCUAAGUCACU